rnacentral:rRNA from 1 species
UACGAAGGGGGCUAGCGUUGUUCGGAAUCACUGGGCGUAAAGCGCACGUAGGCGGAUUGUUAAGUCGGGGGUGAAAUCCUGAGGCUCAACCUCAGAACUGCCUCCGAUACUGGCAAUCUCGAGUUCGGAAGAGGUUGGUGGAACAGCUAGUGUAGAGGUGAAAUUCGUAGAUAUUAGCUAGAACACCAGUGGCGAAGGCGGCGACCUGGGUAGAUACUGACGCUGAGGUGCGAAAGCGUGGGGAGCAAACAGG